rnacentral:rRNA from 1 species
AUUGAACGCUGGCGGCAUGCCUUACACAUGCAAGUCGAACGGCAGCACGGGAGCAAUCCUGGUGGCGAGUGGCGAACGGGUGAGUAAAGCAUCGGAACGUGCCCAGUCGUGGGGGAUAACGUAGCGAAAGCUACGCUAAUACCGCAUACGAUCUGUGGAUGAAAGCGGGGGACCGUAAUGCCUCGCGCGAUUGGAGCGGCCGAUGUCAGAUUAGGUAGUUGGUGAGGUAAAGGCUACCCAAGCCGACGAUCUGUAGCUGGUCUGAGAGGACGACCAGCCACACUGGGACUGAGACAUGGCCCAGACUCCUACGGGAGGCAGCAGUGGGGAAUUUUGGACAAUGGGCGCAAGCCUGAUCCAGCAAUGCCGCGUGCGGGAUGAAGGCCUUCGGGUUGUAAACUGCUUUUGUACGGAGCGAAACGGCUUCCACUAAUACUGGGGGCUAAUGACGGUACCGUAAGAAUAAGCACCGGCUAACUACGUGCCAGCCGCCGCCGUAAAAC